rnacentral:tRNA from 1 species
GUAGAUAUAAUUUAAAUAGAAUACUAGAUUGUGAUUCUAGAAGUAGAAGUUAAACUCUUCUUAUCCACC